AGAGCAUUGAAAGGAUCUUUUCCUAGUACGAGAGCACUGUGAAUGACGCAUCUCUAGUGUAUCAGUUAUCGUGCCCACGGUAUAGUCAAAUGCGAAGCAAAUAACUGCUGAAAGCAUCUAAGUAGUAAGCCCACCUCAAGAUGAGUGCUCU
rnacentral:ncRNA from 1 species